UACGUAGGUGGCGAGCGUUGUCCGGAUUUACUGGGCGUAAAGGAUGCGUAGGCGGAUGUUUAAGUCAGAUGUGAAAAUCCCGAGCUUAACUUGGGAACUGCAUUUGAAACUGGAUAUCUAGAGUGCGGGAGAGGAGAAUGGAAUUCCUAGUGUAGCGGUGAAAUGCGUAGAGAUUAGGAAGAACACCAGUGGCGAAGGCGAUUCUCUGGACCGUAACUGACGCUGAGGCAUGAAAGCGUGGGUAGCAAACAGG
rnacentral:rRNA from 1 species